GAUGAACGCUGGCGGCGUGCCUAAUACAUGCAAGUCGAGCGAACGGACGAGAAGCUUGCUUCUCUGAUGUUAGCGGCGGACGGGUGAGUAACACGUGGAUAACCUACCUAUAAGACUGGGAUAACUUCGGGAAACCGGAGCUAAUACCGGAUAAUAUUUUGAACCGCAUUGUUCAAAAGUGAAAGACGGUCUUGCUGUCACUUAUAGAUGGAUCCGCGCUGCAUUAGCUAGUUGGUAAGGUAACGGCUUACCAAGGCAACGAUGCAUAGCCGACCUGAGAGGGUGAUCGCCCACACUGGAACUGAGACACGGUCCAGACUCCUACGGGAGGCAGCAGUAGGGAAUCUUCCGCAAUGGGCGAAAGCCUGACGGAGCAACGCCGCGUGAGUGAUGAAGGUCUUCGGAUCGUAAAACUCUGCUAUUAGGGAAGAACAUAUGUGUAAGUAACUGUGCACAUCUUGACGGUACCUAAUCAGAAAGCCACGGCUAACUACGUG
rnacentral:rRNA from 1 species